CAGUAGCCGCGGGAAAACGAAGGGGGCUAGCGUUGUUCGGAUUUACUGGGCGUAAAGCGCACGUAGGCGGAGAUUUAAGUCAGGGGUGAAAUCCCGAGGCUCAACCUCGGAACUGCCUUUGAUACUGGGUUUCUUGAGUCCGGAAGAGGUGAGUGGAACUGCGAGUGUAGAGGUGAAAUUCGUAGAUAUUCGCAAGAACACCAGUGGCGAAGGCGGCUCACUGGUCCGGAACUGACGCUGAGGUGCGAAAGCGUGGGGAGCAAACAGGAUUAGAUACCCCAGUAGUCCCUGUCUCUUAACC
rnacentral:rRNA from 1 species